CGAAGGGACCUAGCGUAGUUCGGAAUUACUGGGCUUAAAGAGCUCGUAGGUGGUUAGAAAAGUUGGUGGUGAAAUCCCAAGGCUUAACCUUGGAACUGCCUCCAAAACUUUUUGACUCGAGUAUGAUAGAGGUAAGUGGAAUUUCUAGUGUAGAGGUGAAAUUCGUAGAUAUUAGAAAGAACACCAAUUGCGAAGGCAGCUUUCUGGAUCAUUACUGACACUGAGGAGCGAAAGCAUGGGUAGCGAAGAGGAUUAGAUACCCUCGUAGUCCAUGCCGUAAACGAUGUGUGCUAGACGUUGGAAAUUUAGUUUUCAGUGUCGCAGCGAAAGCGUUAAGCACACCGCCUGGGGAGUACGACCGCAAGGUUAAAACUCAAAUGAAUUGACGGGGACCCGCACAAGCAGUGGAGCAUGUGGUUUAAUUCGAAGAUACGCGCAGAACCUUACCAACACUUGACAUGUUCGUCGCGACUUUAAGAGAUUAGAGUCUUCGGUUCGGCCGGACGAAACACAGGUGCUGCAUGGCUGUCGUCAGCUCGUGUCGUGAGAUGUUGGGUUAAGUCCCGCAACGAGCACAACCCUUACUUUUAGUUGCCACCAUUUAGUUGAGCACUCUAAAAGAACUGCCAGUGAUAAGCUGGAGGAAGGCGGGGAUGACGUCAAGUCCUCAUGGCCCUUACGUGUUGGGCUACACACGUGCUACAAUGGUACUUACAAUGAGAUGCGAAGAGGCGACUCCAAGCCAAUCUCAAAAAGGUACCUCAGUUCGGAUUGUACUCUGCAACUCGAGUACAUGAAGCUGGAAUUGCUAGUAAUCGCGGAUCAGCGCGCCGCGGUGAAUACGUUCCCGGGUCUUGUACACACCGCCCGUCACACCAUGGAAGUUGGUUACACCUUAAAGCAAAGCAUAAA
rnacentral:rRNA from 1 species